rnacentral:misc_RNA from 1 species
GAAAAAAAUGAAAAAAAAAAAGUGUCUAUAAAGAAUAUAAUAUCUAUUUUACCCUCUUAUUUACAAGUGACAAAAUAUAUAUUUAAGUAUAAAAUUGUAAUUUUGCUUUUUCCUUUUCACUCUCUCCAAAUUGGAGAGAGAAUGAAAGAUAGGUCCCACUUUCUAUUUUGCUCUCUUACUUUCUUUUCCCCCUACUUUCGUUAUAUCCAAACAAGAUAGAGAUGAAAAUUUCUUCUAUUUUCCUUUUUUUUUGUCACUCCUAUUUUCCUUAGUCCAAGCAUAGUGUCAAAGAAUCAUCUAUCAAUUUAAAAGAUUCGGAAUCUACCCGAUUACAUUUAUCACCGGAAGGCGAUUUCCAAUGUUCCCCAACAUUUAUAGGACACUGCAGUCCUUCACCAGUGAGGUCUAACGAAUUCUCAGAAUCCAGCAGGAAGUCUUUCAUUGUCUUGAGAGAUUUCAACUGACGACCAAGAGAUGAGAUUGUUUUCUGGCACUCAGCAAAUUUACUUGCAGCAAAUGCUAGCUCUUUCUCCUGCUUUAUCCUCAACUCCUCAUUACAACUUGCAACACGCCUGAGCUCGGCCUCAUGCUGGAGGUCAGCUUCAUGCUUCUUUUUUGAAAGCUCAUCCUCCAAUUUCUGACACUUUGCUAAAGUUUCUGUCGACAAAGUAUGCUCCUUCUCAACCUCUUCACCUAAUAAACCAACUUUAGAAAGCAAGGUUUUGAUUUCGGCUUCAGCAACUAAGAGUUGAGACUCUGCAACAUCUCUCUUUGCUUUGAUGUGCUCCAUCUCUUGGUCUCUCAAUUGUUUUGUUUCAUUUGAAAGAGCUAACUGAACUAGCAGCUCAACCAACUUUCCCUCCACUUCUUUUAGCCCACUUUGAGACAUCUCAAGCUGCCUCUGGCACUCAGUCAAAGCCUUUUCUGAUUCAACUUUUUCUCCCUCUAAUUUCUCUAACCUUUCCUCCAAUUCAGAAGUCCGUUGAAUCAUGGUUUCAAGUUCAGCUCUUAAUGAGCUUUCUGCAUCAAUAGAUUGUUUCCCCACAGCUUCUGGUUCAGAAUGACAAGCUUCAUUUUCAGUCUCAGGCAAAGCAGCAAGUCGUUCCAUUUCAAGAAAAUCAUCCAUGAGAUUGAUUUCAGUUGCUGAGGAUGGAAGACCUCGAUUAACAGUUUUGUCGUUCUUGAAUUGAUCAAGUUCAGCAAUCAAUGCUGAUGCCCAUGAGUCUGAGCGACUUGGAUCACAUUUGUGUGGCUCUGAACAACUCAUUUUGCGGGCAUCCAGAUCCACUGCAUUAAGCCUCUCCCCACUGUCUGAUUGACUAUCAGUUAGAGAUUCAACAUAAAUUGAAGAGGCAGUAGAAGUUUUAUGAUCAUUAAGUGAUGUUGAUUUGCAAGCCAUGGCUUUUAGCCUACGACAUUCAGCCUCAAGCUUUGCCACUUUCUUUAUGCUCUCCAAAUGUUGCUUGCUUGCUGUUUCAGCUGCUUGGGUACUCAAGUCCCUUUCAAUGGUUCUGACUUCUAGCUCCUCAUAUAGAGAUAGGAGCUCAAGCUUCAGGGAUGCAUUAUCUUUCUCCAAAAACUCAAGCUUAUAGCAUAUUUCUGGAUCAAUUUGAGGUGGAGAUUGCGACUUUGCCGCUUCUGCUUCUGUCUUCAGCUUGACAAGCUGGUUCUCAAGCUCAGAUUUAGUGGAUUCCCAUUCACGUGUUUUCCUUGCCAAAGCUUCAUAGACUUUUUCUUCCUGCUCCUCUCUUGCUUGUCUCAGCUGCCUAACACACUCCUUGAGGGCCCCAUCCAGAUGGCUUACCCGAUCUUCCAUUGCAGAGUUCUGCUGAAUGGCAGCUUCGAGUUGUUUCUUUAGAGCAGCUACUUCAUUUUCGGCCCUUUCCCAUCCUGCAACAGCUUCUUCAGCAACUUUAGAAUGCUGCUUCACCAAGUCAUCUUUGGCACUAACAUUCACAAGAGCAGCAGAUAACCUCUCUGCCAAAAUCUUAACACUAUCAUUGACAUCUUCAUUCCUGACCGAACCUUUUGAUGUGACUUCAGGAGAUUGAUUAUCCUCAUUUGGAGAUGCCUUCAUGGUGUCCUGCUUCAAUGAUGAAAAAUGGGUGAAAUCAACACAAACAGAGCCAAGAUUUGCAAUUAACAAGAUGAAACAAAUGCCAUCCCAAGCAGGAGCCAGCUAAUGAAACCAUAAUUGUCCUCGGUGAAGAAUGAAAAAAAAACAUCACUCCAUCUGAUGCUAAGAAACACAGGAAGAAGAACAGUACAUUUUUAGAUAAUCAUACAUAACCAGUCAAUGAUUAUCCCAUUCAUAAUAUGAUAUCCCAAAGUCUAUGCAAGUAUUUCUUUUCUCCAAGGCAACUUUUUCAAAGGAAAAUUUGAAUCUCUCUUGUUCCUUUCAGAAAUACACCUUUGAAGGAGAGUUUUCUCUGCUUUAACGCUUCAAAAUAAGUUAGUGUGUAUGAUUGCACUUCUCUUAAUCUAAUUGCCUCAUUUAUCUGGAUAAAAAAAAUGGUAACCUAUGCAUUGAAAGAAUUGCCAUUAUGUGAUUUCUAACUUUAUCACGAAGAAACCAAAGGCUUGUUGUCAUGAAGAGCUCAGUUUUAGUUCUGAAACACAAAUAUAAUGAAUUUAUGAGUCAUAUUCUCUGAGCCUACUCCAUUUAUCUAUCAUAGUACAUCAAAAUCCAUGCUAUUUAUCCAAGUUCAGUGUUCUUCAGCUUGUAAUACAAAUAAAGUUUUCAGAUUACAUUCACAUCAAUGUUGAAGUACAAACUAUGCCAUAUGCUUAAACAAAGUGUUGAGAUCAAACCACAAUUUGAAAGGCUAUGCUUCAAACGCUAUGAUGCCUACAGCAAGGCUUGAAAUAGGAUAAUUUAUCACAUAUUAUAGAUGAAUACAAGUAUAAUGAAAAGAAAACAACUCAAGUAUAGCGAACAAAGAAAUUUCUUGAGAGUUAUCCGCAGUUCAUUCAAAAAAAGUAUUUCAAAUAUGAAGAAAGUUUAACAACCAAGACUAUUGAUAUGGUAAGGAAGCAAAAGGUAGAUGUCUAAUUCAGCAAUAUCUAAUAAUUUUGGUGAAAGCCUAAAAGCUUGUAUCAGAUACUCGUAGAAAACAAGAGUAUAGCUAAAAGCCAAUUUCAAAAUCCUAAUUGUGGGGUCGGUGGGUUCCUGUGUGAUAGCCACCUACUUGCUCAUCAGAGAAUCUCUCAGAAUGUGAAGAUAUUGAUCCCGAACUCUCAGUUUCACCAAGGCUCCUCUCGGAAGACUUCCUCUUCCACAGCCAUUUCCUCUUUUCCAUCACAAAAUCUUGAAGUCCAGCUUUAUCUCAUCAAAGAAUAUUUAUCUGCACAUAAUUUCAAGCCAUUAAAAUUUAAAAUGAUGCAACCAUAAACGCACGCACGCUACAGCAUAACAGUGGAUACCCAGAAACAAAUUUCUAUUGCAUAUUGUGGUUGCAGCAAUCAUUCCCCUUAAUAAACCGAAAUGCUUAUCCUCAACAAACUCAAACAUAAAACAAAAAGAUGACUUGUCUUUUCAUUUUAUCAGCUUUGCUUCAACUUCACCCCAUAACCAACCCAACAACAACGACAACAAAAGAUUACAGUUUUAACCGCCUGAAUAGCGCAAGAUAUAGAGAAAAAGAAAAUCACUGGCAAGCUCGUGUCUAGAAGAUGGAGAGAUUUUUGGCUCCAGCAACACCCAACAAGCAAAGUGAAUGGUUUUAAACAACAUUAAACAGUAAAAUCAGAGAAACCCAUUAUGUUAAUCACAACAUGGGAACAAUUCAACUAUUAAAAACAGUUCAAAUCUCCCCCACGAAAAAAGAUGCCCUCAAGUAGAGAAGCUCAAAUCAGUACCAAUGAAACAGUAGCUAUUCACAAAUUAAGGGACAAGGAACUAGAAAACCCAGAAAUCCCAAUACAGAGGAUCCAAAAUAUAAGCAAUUCAUCAGCGAUUUAAGGCCAAAAUCCUGUCAACUAUUUCAUAAUAAAUAAAAUAAAUAUAAUACAGUUUAUAGGAACAAAGACCCAGAUCAAAUACCUUUGACAGGAGGCACAAGCAACCCACGAAAUCAAAUGGAACCAGUUAAUUUACAAAUGUAAAACAAAAGAUGGGUUCCAGAUUGCAGAAACAGUGAAAUACAACAAAUAAAAAAAAAUUCAACAGAAAAAAAAGCCCUGCAAAAAUCUGUGGAAUGUCGGAAGAAAUAUAAUUAUCCAGAUAGACCAACAGUAGCUAACGAAGGUAGCAGACAAUGUGGGUAUCUAUUUCUUGUUUUAUAGCUAUAUUACCUCCCUUUUCCUUCUCUUUGAAUAUUUAAAAAAGAAAAAAGCAGAAAGAGCAUGUGAUUGUGAAUUUGGAGCUGUGGACUGAAGAUGUGAGAAUGAGCAA